GAUGAAGAACGUAGUGAAAUGCGAUACGUAAUGUGAAUUGCAGAAUUCAGUGAAUCAUCGAAUCUUUGAACGCAUAUUGCGCUCUCUGGUAUUCCGGAGAGCAUGCUUGUUUGAGUAUCAGUAAACACCUCAACUUCCAUAUCUUUUUUGAAAUGGGAGUUGGACUUGAGUGAUCCCAACGCUUUUCCUCACCGAAAAGUGGCGGGUUACUUGAAAUGCAGGUGCAGCUGGACUUUUCUCUGAGCUAUAAGCAUAUCUAUUUAGUCUGCCUAAAAAACAGAUUAUUACCUUUGCUGCAGCUAACAUAAAGGAGAUUAGUUCUUGUGCUGACUGAUGCAGGAUUCACAAAGACAGGCUUCGGCCGACUUUGUAAACUCGAUCUGAAAUCAAGUAAGACUACCCGCUGAACUUAAGCAUAUCAAUAAGCGGAGGA
rnacentral:misc_RNA from 1 species